rnacentral:rRNA from 1 species
GACAGAGGUGCCGAGCGUUAGGCGGAAUCACUGGGCUUAAAGCGUGUGUAGGCGGGCCGUUAAGUGCCUUGUGAAAUCCCCCGGCUCAACCGGGGAACGGCUGGGCAGACUGGCGGCCUUGGGCCAACUAGGGGCAACUGGAACAAGCGGUGGAGCGGUGAAAUGCGUAGAUAUCGCUUGGAACGCCGAAGGUGAAAACAGGUUGCUGGGGUUGUGCCGACGCUGAGACACGAAAGCCAGGGGAGCAAACGGG